rnacentral:rRNA from 1 species
GAUGAACGCUGGCGGCGUGCCUAAUACAUGCAAGUCGAGCGAACAGACGAGGAGCUUGCUCCUUUGACGUUAGCGGCGGACGGGUGAGUAACACGUGGAUAACCUACCUAUAAGACUGGGAUGACUUCGGGAAACCGGAGCUAAUACCGGAUAACAUGUUGAACCGCAUGGUUCAACAGUGAAAGACGGUCUUGCUGUCACUUAUAGAUGGAUCCGCGCCGCAUUAGCUAGUUGGUAAGGUAACGGCUUACCAAGGCAACGAUGCGCAGCCGACCUGAGAGGGUGAUCGGCCACACUAGAACUGAGACACGGUCCAGACUCCUACGGGAGGCAGCAGUAGGGAAUCUUCCGCAAUGGGCGAAAGCCUGACGGAGCAACGCCGCGUGAGUGAAGAAGGUCUUCGGAUCGUAAAACUCUGUUAUUAGGGAAGAACAAAUGUGUAAGUAACUAUGCACGUCUUGACGGUACCUAAUCAGAAAGCCACGGCUAACUACGUG